rfam:Triticum urartu cultivar G1812 contig715753, whole genome shotgun sequence.
GUUGUACUCCCUUCGUUUGGAAUUAUUUGUCUCGGAAACGGAUGUAUCUAGAAUUAAAAUAUGUCUAGAUACAUCCAUUUCUACGACAAGUAAUUCCGAACGGAGGGAGUAGCUA